rnacentral:rRNA from 1 species
UACGUAGGGUGCAAGCGUUGUCCGGAAUUAUUGGGCGUAAAGAGCUCGUAGGCGGUUUGUCGCGUCUGCUGUGAAAACCCGAGGCUCAACCUCGGGCCUGCAGUGGGUACGGGCAGACUAGAGUGCGGUAGGGGAGAUUGGAAUUCCUGGUGUAGCGGUGGAAUGCGCAGAUAUCAGGAGGAACACCAAGUGGCGAAGGCAGAUCUCUGGGCCGUAACUGACGCUGAGGAGCGAAAGCGUGGGGAGCGAACAGG